AACGCGAAGAACCUUACCCGGGCUUGAACUACGGAUGGUAAGUCCCUAGAAACAGGGGCUGACCCGCAAGGGAGUCCGCAGAGGUGCUGCAUGGUUGUCGUCAGCUCGUGUCGUGAGAUGUUGGGUUAAGUCCCGCAACGAGCGCAACCCCUAUUCGAUGUUGCUAAUCCCGCAAGGGAUGCACUCUUCGAAAACUGCCUUCGAUAAGAAGGAGGAAGGUGGGGACGACGUCAAAUCCUCAUGGCCCUUAUGUCCGGGGCUACACACGUGUUACAAUGGCCGGUACAAUGGGAAGCAAUACCGCAAGGUGGAGCCAAACCCACAAAGCCGGCCCCAGUUCAGAUUGUGGGCUGCAACUCGCCCACAUGAAGGCGGAAUCGCUAGUAAUCGCUGAUCAGCAGGCAGCGGUGAAUACGUUCCCGGGCCUUGUACACACCGCUAGUC
rnacentral:rRNA from 1 species